GGAUUGCCCCAGUAACGGCGAGUGAAGCGGCAACAGCUCAAAUUUGAAAUCUGGCGCCCCCCCGCGGGCGCCCGAGUUGUAAUUUGCAGAGGAUGCUUUUGGCGAGGCGCCUUCCGAGUUCCCUGGAACGGGACGCCACAGAGGGUGAGAGCCCCGUCCGGUCGGCCGCCGAGCCUCUGUAAAGCUCCUUCGACGAGUCGAGUAGUUUGGGAAUGCUGCUCUAAUUGGGAGGUAUAUGUCUUCUAAAGCUAAAUACCGGCCAGAGACCGAUAGCGCACAAGUAGAGUGAUCGAAAGAUGAAAAGCACCUUGAAAAGAGGGUUAAACAGUACGUGAAAUUGUUGAAAGGGAAGCGCUCAUGACCAGACUUGGGCCCUGCGGAUCAGCCGGCGGCCCCCCGCCGGCGCACUCCGCAGGGCGCAGGCCAGCAUCAGUUCGCGCCGGGGGACAAAGGCGGCGGGAACGUGGCUCCCCCAGGGGAGUGUUAUAGCCCGCCGCGCAAUGCCCCGGGGGCGGACUGAGGCCCGCGCGUUCCGACGCAUGGAUGCUGGCGUAAUGGUCAUCAGUGACCCGUCUUGAAACACGGACCAAGGAGUCGUCCUCGUAUGCGAGUGUUCGGGUGUCAAACCCCUACGCGUAAUGAAAGUGAACGCAGGUGAGAGCUUCGGCGCAUCACCGACCGAUCCUGAUGUUCUCGGAUGGAUUUGAGUAGGAGCAUACGGGGCCGGACCCGAAAGAAGGUGAACUAUGCCUGUAUAGGGUGAAGCCAGAGGAAACUCUGGUGGAGGCUCGCAGCGGUUCUGACGUGCAAAUCGAUCGUCAAAUAUGGGCAUGGGGGCGAAAGACUAAUCGAACCUUCU
rnacentral:rRNA from 1 species